ensembl:lncRNA
GUUUACAUAUUAACAUCUUUUAACAAGCAGUGUAUGAAGUUGAUAACCUGAGCCAGUUAACAUACGUCUUUUUCUCCUGUGGACUUUAGCCUUCUUGUUUCUGUUUUUGUAUAUGCUUAGAGUGAGGGAAGACAACUCCUUUUCAAACUGAAGUUUUUUGGUGUUGGUCAUUUUAAUGCUUAAUUGUCAUACAUUUUAAAGCUUCGUGUUAAGAAUUUUUUCUUUAUCCCUCUUUUUUGAUGUAUGUUUGCUCAACUAUGCAGCUUCUUUAGAAAACUGUAAAUUACUGGUUGGGGUUUAUUAAAUCAGCUUAUACCUCAUUUCAAUCUGCGGCUGCGUUUUUCUCCUGGUAUCAUUUCUCGCUUUACUACUUUCACCUGUUCUACCAGAGAAUAGAGCGGCAUAAAGGGUCAGCCCCACAGACGAUUAGCUGUUUAAAACAACUCUAGAAGAACAGAUGGAGUAGUUUAGAAAGUUGAAACCAUUCGUUUAUCUAAAGCCUUUGAAUUCCCUGAGAAUUGUAACUGCCCAUGCUUUCUCUUAGCCAUAAUUAGCAGGAUUAAAAAUGAUUGUACUGUACAAUGAGUUGUUGAAAUUGUAAGCCUUAGUAACCAUCUUUAGCUUUACUCUAGUACUGUUUAGGAAAAAAUUAUUGACAUAUGCCUUUAUUUUUAUGCCAAUUAUUUUGUGGACAAAAUCAGAAGAAUUUAAGUGACUUGUUGCAGAUUAUGAAGCUUCAGUGGUGACUGAUGACCAUGCAGCUACAGAAGGCUUCUCUCCUGGGGCAUGAGUCAUCCUGGAGUGGGGAUCCUGACUGGCAUCUGUGUGAGAACAGGCAUUUCUUUCUUAACAUGGACAUAUCACGUUACCUUGCCCUAUGGGAUAGAGUGGAAUUACACAAUAAGUCUAGAUGAAGAAAUCUGACUCUACCCCUACCUGCCAUGUGAACCUGGGAAGAUAUUCGGUUCUUUUGGAGUGUCUGUCUCCUGUGCUGUAAAAUGAAGACAAUGAAUGUCUACUUCAUGUUGUUAUAAGGAUUGAUGUGGGAGGGUAUACAAUACCUGCCGUAGAACACAUACCAAAUACUAGCUUUCUUUCCUAUUUUUUUCUCCAUCAAAGAGAUUUAGUUAUUGGCAGUUCAUGAGAAGAAGCUUUUUUGGGGUGUGGAGUACAUUGUGGGAGAGGUAUAGCCCCUUCAGAGGGCUCCCUAAAAAUAUCCCCAGGGACAGACCUCUAUUUUUCCUGUAGAUCUGGGUAAGCCUGGGAGGAAACCCAAAAGGUGAAGCAUUGUUUGACCUCUCAGAUUUCCCCUUCCACAGGUGGCAGGGUUCUGAUGUAAUUCCUCUUGCAAUAUCCCGAGGCUCUUUAUCAUGGAGAGAAGCCUCAUAUUGUGAAGAAAAGGUGACUUCUGGAAGUUUAGAAGAAAGGCUCAGUGUGGCAGUUCAUUAUUUUUGGUAGCCAAAUUGAAAACAAGAGGUGGAUUCAGUCUAUCUACAGAUUGCAUUCACUGGGGCAAUAUGCACCUUUGCCUCUGGGAGAAAUCUAUCAACUCUUCAUCCCUGUUUCCAUGUCAGCAAGCCACCUACACUGUGGGGACUUGGGAUAACAGGACAAGGAACCUCACAUUUACCCCUGCUGCUGUUGCUGCUGCUGCUGCUAAGUCUAUUCAGUCGUGUCCGACUCUGUGCAACCCUAUAGACGGCAGCCCACCAGGCUCCCUCAUCCCUGGGAUUCUCCAGGCAAGAACACUGGAGUGGGUUGCCAUUUCCUUCUCCAAUGCAUGAAAGUGAAAAGUGAAAGUGAAGUCGCUCAGUCAUGUCUGACUCUUAGCGACCUCAUGGACUGCAGCCUACCAGGCUCCUCCAUCC